CCAUCAAUUCUUUUGCCUACACACAUUUCCCUGUUAAACAUUUUUGGCUCCAUUAAUUACUUCCAUUUUCUCAUUUCUCUCCCAAAUAUUUUUGGGUUUAGCUCCAAAAUAUUUCGGCUCAAAAACUUGUUAUCACCUAGUUUUACGACACUUGAAAGAAAAAUACCAAAUUCUUAAACUUUCUCUCGAAACUCACCGAGUCUUCUUCUCGAUUUCGCCUUCAUCAUGUUAUCCGGUGCUUUACUUCAUGGCUCACACCGGACAAACCUCUAUCCUCGUCGUCCAUCCGGGUACGUUUCUUCCACACCCCUAUUUCUUCUAUUAGUUCAGAUAAGGGUUUCCACACCCCUUUGUUUUUUAACUAUCAUUGAUUGGAUUUGCUUGUUUACAGGAAUGGUGAAUUAUAUCUCGUUUUAAGGUUUAUGAAAAUUGUUGAUGAAUAAAGUCCCACAUCGGUAGUUGGAGAAAUAAUUAAGUAAUAUAUAAAUGGUUAGGGUCAAUCCACUAAUUACCAAUUGGUUUUAAGUUGGAAGCCCAUAAUUAACCUGAAUCUAAUAUGGUAUCAGAGCGGUCGAUCCUUGUGGAUCAAAGUUAAAUUAAAAAGAGCCACCCGAUGUUGGGCCACUCCGUGGAUGGUAUUCCCACAGUUGUCCACGCAUGUGCGUGAGGGGGAGUGUUGAUGAAUAAAGUCCCACAUCGGUAGUUGGAGAAAUAAUUAAGUAAUAUAUAAAGGGUUAGAGUCAAUCCACUAAUUACCAAUUGGUUUUAAGUUGGAAGCCCAUAAUUAACCUGAAUCUAAUGCUCAGGGGAGAAGCCAGGUACAAGACUAUGGGUGCAUGUGCACCACUAAUUUUUCAGCUUUUUGAUCACUCUACAAGGUAAAUUAAAAAGAAAUUCUCAUAAGUAUAUUCAUUCAUUCAUUUUAUAAGGUUUGUGCUCCCACUAAAAUCUACAUCUAGAUUCACCACUGAUUAUGCUAAUUUUGGGCCUCAUGGUCAGAUUACGAGAAGGAGAGGUUACAGAGACAACAUAACCUUGAAUAUUUCUGUUUGUAUGCUAAUGGGCAGGAGAAGAAACAAAGCAAAAUACACCAUCAUAAACCAUUGUUCCAGCUUUCUUACUUGCUCUUUUCGAUACAAUUUUGAGUCUCUUAAACUUUAAAGAUCCUUCUAUCGUCAAGCAUGUAUUGAAGGAGACCACAAAGGCUUACUCCAAGGUAAAAGACAGCUUACUCCAAGGGGAUUCAGAUAGAUUUUGCAAUGGAAAUAGGACUCAUAACAGCUGAGGCUGAGGCAGUGACAAUGGAGUGGGCGACCUAUAUAUAUAAAAUGUAUUUGUAUAUCUAAUCUUGUAACUAAAACACAAAUUUAAUUGUA